AUUGAACGCUGGCGGCAGGCCUAACACAUGCAAGUCGAACGAGUGGCGGACGGGUGAGUAAUGUCUGGGAAACUGCCUGAUGGAGGGGGAUAACUACUGGAAACGGUAGCCAAUACCGCAUACCAUCAGAUGUGCCCAUAUGGGAUUAGCUUGUUGGUGGGGUAACGGCUCACCAAUGCGAUGACCCCUAGCUGGUCUGAGCAGAUGACGAGCCACACUGGAACGAAGACACGGUCCAGACUCCUACGGGAGGCAGCAGUGGGGAAUGUUGCACAAUGGGGGCAAGCCUGAUGCAGCCAUGCCGGGUGUAUGAAGAAGGCCUUCGGGUUGUAAAGUACUUUCAGCGGGACGACGUUACCCGCAGAAGAAGCACCGGCUAACUCCGUGCCAGCAGCCGCGGUAAUAC
rnacentral:rRNA from 1 species